AUUGAACGCUGGCGGCAUGCUUUACACAUGCAAGUCGAACGGUAACAGGCCGCAAGGUGCUGACGAGUGGCGAACGGGUGAGUAAUGCAUCGGAACGUGCCCAGUCGUGGGGGAUAACGCAGCGAAAGCUGCGCUAAUACCGCAUACGAUCUAUGGAUGAAAGCGGGGGACCUGUAAGGGCCUCGCGCGAUUGGAGCGGCCGAUGUCAGAUUAGGUAGUUGGUGGGGUAAAGGCUCACCAAGCCGACGAUCUGUAGCUGGUCUGAGAGGACGACCAGCCACACUGGGACUGAGACACGGCCCAGACUCCUACGGGAGGCAGCAGUGGGGAAUGUUGGACAAUGGGCGCAAGCCUGAUCCAGCAAUGCCGCGUGCAGGAAGAAGGCCUUCGGGUUGUAAACUGCUUUUGUACGGAACGAAACGGCUCUGGUUAAUACCUGGGGCUAAUGACGGUACCGUAAGAAUAAGCACCGGCUAACUACGUGCCAGCCGCCGCGGUAA
rnacentral:rRNA from 1 species